ACCCACUUUAUUCCCAACAAUUCAUUCAAUUAGUUCUAUAUUUCCAAAUAACAAUUGUAUACAACAGAAAUAUAUCUUGUUGCUAAUAGUUUAUCACACUUGAAUACGUGUGCAUACCCCUUCGUAGUCUGUAGCCAUACGUAUACAUUUUUGCGAUACAAGGAGAUACAAAAAACAAGUUUUCGCAAUGCCUGCUGCACCGAUGGAGGUGGGGCGGCUCCUCCACUGCUGG
rnacentral:lncRNA from 1 species